rnacentral:rRNA from 1 species
AACGAACGCUGGCGGCAUGCCUAACACAUGCAAGUCGAACGAGACCUUCGGGUCUAGUGGCGCACGGGUGCGUAACGCGUGGGAACCUGCCCUUAGGUUCGGAAUAACUCCCCGAAAGGGGUGCUAAUACCGGAUAAUGUCUUCGGACCAAAGAUUUAUCGCCUUUGGAUGGGCCCGCGUUGGAUUAGCUAGUUGGUAGGGUAAAAGCCUACCAAGGCGACGAUCCAUAGCUGGUCGGAGAGGAUGAUCAGCCACACUGGGACUGAGACACGGCCCAGACUCCUACGGGAGGCAGCAGUGGGGAAUAUUGGACAAUGGGCGAAAGCCUGAUCCAGCAAUGCCGCGUGAGUGAUGAAGGCCUUAGGGUUGUAAAGCUCUUUUACCCGGGAUGAAAAUGACAGUACCGGGAGAAUAAGCUCCGGCUAACUCCGUG